GACGAACGCUGGCGGCGUGCUUAACACAUGCAAGUCGAACGAUGAACCAGGGCUUCCCCUGGGAAUUAGUGGCGAACGGGUGAGUAACACGUGGGCAACCUGCCCCUGACACCGGGAUAACCAUUCGAAGGGAUGGCCAAUACCGGAUACGACCACUCCAGGCAUCUGGCGGUGGUGGAAAGGAUUCUGGUCAGGGAUGGGCCUGCGGCCUAUAAGCUAGUUGAUGGGGUAACGGCCUACCAAGGCGACGACGGGUAACCGGCAUAAGAGGGCGACCGGUCAGACAGGGACUGAGACACGGCCCAGACUCCGACGGGAGGCAGCAGUGGGGAAUAUUGGGCAAUGGGCGAAAGCCUGAGGCAGCGACGCCGCGUGAGGGACGACGGUCUUCGGAUUGUAAACCUCUUUCAGCAGGGAUGAAGCCGCAAGGUGACAGUACCUGCAGAAGAAGCACCGGCUAACUACGUGCCAGCAGCCGCAGUAA
rnacentral:rRNA from 1 species